AACUGAUACUACCUGCGGGAACCUGCGGAAGGAUCAUUAACGAGUUUUGAAGUGGGAUUGAUGCUGGCCUUCCGAGGCAUGUGCUCGUCCUCGCUCAUCCACUCACAACACCUGUGCACUGUUGAGGUGUGGCCCCCCUUCAAUGGAGCCGUUCCCCCCUAGGGGGUCGAGCCGGGGUCAGGCCUUCUUCGUCACAAACAACCUGUAAUGUCUAUUCGGAAUGUAAUGCUUCAUGUUAAU
rnacentral:misc_RNA from 1 species